ACCGUUCCGGCCCUUGUGGCCGCCUCCAGGGCCGAAAGCUCGUAGUGGACGAAGGGCAGGGCCUCCCCGGGGAUGCCCAGGCGCGCCGGGCUGUCGGACGUGCCCGUGGCCAGGACCACGUUGCGGGCACAUAGGGAGAAGGGCUGCUGGCUCUGGUCCUCCGUGGUCAGGACGCCGCUCACCUGGAAGAGGGGGCUGGGGGCCGGAGCCCCGGAGCCACCAGACACAGGUGUCCCCCACUCCACGGCCGUGACCACGGCACCGGACACAAAGUUGUGACCCAGGCCCUUCUUGGUCACGUAGUCCCUGUAGUAGUGAGCGAUGUCCCCAGCCGUGGCUCGGCUGUUACGAAGACCUCUGAAGGGAAGGAUUCAGGGGGGCGGGUGUCAGAGAGCAGACCUGGGGUGGAGGGCCACAGUUGGGGGUGACCAGGCCGGCGGCUGGACUGUGGCUCUGCCUCCCCCGCUGUGGGACUUAGUUUACCCCCUCGGAGCCUGCAGCUCGUCAUGUGUGAAACAGAACUAAUGCAGGUUCCUCAGUAGGGUGGGGUUGAGACUGUGGUCUCUAAAGCCAGGUGGCCUGGGUUCAAAUCCUGCUGGUGAGCUACGUGCCUGAAACACUCCAUGCCUCAGUUUCCUCAUUUGCACACGGGGAUGAUGGUGGUGACAGAGCGAUUUCACGCGGCUGUUGAGGGUCGGCUGUGAUGUGCACAGAAAUCUUAGGAUAGAAGCUGCCAGGUGGUGGGUGGCAGGGAAGAGUCAGCCACUGGUCCUACCUCCAAAGACUAAUUACGCAUCUACACGAAGGUGCUAGGCUUCCAUCUCCCCCAAGCUCGGAAACAGGGCAAUGACCGCAGGGCCAGCGUCUCCAGGUGCCUGAGCUACGGGCUUCGGCAUGAUCUCAGCUCCUCCGUCUACCUGGGUGACCUGGGACGCGUUACCUACUCUAACCACGGACGUGUUGUUAAGGGCGAUCCUACGUGGGGCGCCUGGGUGGCGCAGUCGAGAAUCCUACAUGACACCCAACAGGACCAACAGUAGCACCAACUCACAUCGCAUCCCCCAAGGCCACGCCACGCAGCCCAGCCCGCCGGUCUGCUCCUGAAACUGGAACUCUGCUUUCUGUGGGUUUGUCACUUUCCCCUCUCUGAGUAAAAACUGUUCCAGAGAACGGUCCUAAGGUGCGACAUCUAGGGUUCUUUCUAAGAAGCAAAGCCGCAGGACUGGGGGUAGGGGGGCUUUGGAGUCCUGGCGGCACCAGGAGGGCAGGGAGUGUGGCUGCCGUGGGUGUGGCCCGGCGCACAGGAGCAGGAGCAGAUGUGCUUGAUGGGGAAUAUUAUGUGGCCCCGUAAAAGACAGUUGCAAACGCUGUCUUCACCAUGUGAAACCCUUAUGCCUGAACGUUAAAUUUGAAAGUGAAAUAUAAAAGUAUGUCUACGAUUAAAAUUUCAGUUCCUGUCGCUCUGUUGACACAUCCCCACACUAGCCUGGGUAUCUUCCUGCCAAGUCUGCAGGGACACAAAGUCUUUGUGAAACUGAGUUGCUGGGUGGGGACGACCAGCCUGUGUCAUGGCACCUGGGGUCGGAGGGAACAGGGUCACACAAGGUCAGCCACCACCCAAGUGGCAACCCUGCACCCACCCCCCCUGGAGCACCGGGGAACUUGCUGCUUUGCUCCCCAGGAUGAGCAGGGGCUGGAAUUCAUUUGUUCAGUGAUUGGGCUUUUUCCUCCAGGAAGGUCAGACGUGUGCAGUGUGGUCAUGAUGGAACAGGAAACAAGGUGGAGGAG